GACGAACGCUGGCGGCGUGUCUAAUACAUGCAAGUUGAGCGAUGAAGAUUGGUGCCUGCACCAAUUUGAAGAGCAGCGAACGGGUGAGUAACGCGUGGGGAAUCUGCCUUUGAGCGGGGGACAACAUUUGGAAACGAAUGCUAAUACCGCAUAACAACUUUAAACAUAAGUUUUAAGUUUGAAAGAUGCAAUUGCAUCACUCAAAGAUGAUCCCGCGUUGUAUUAGCUAGUUGGUGAGGUAAAGGCUCACCAAGGCGAUGAUACAUAGCCGACCUGAGAGGGUGAUCGGCCACAUUGGGACUGAGACACGGCCCAAACUCCUACGGGAGGCAGCAGUAGGGAAUCUUCGGCAAUGGACGAAAGUCUGACCGAGCAACGCCGCGUGAGUGAAGAAGGUUUUCGGAUCGUAAAACUCUGUUGGUAGAGAAGAACGUUGGUGAGAGUGGAAAGCUCAUCAAGUGACGGUAACUACCCAGAAAGGGACGGCUAACUACGUG
rnacentral:rRNA from 1 species